GUUCUGUGUAAGACUCUGACUCUCUGAACAUGGACAUUAUCAAACACGGUCUCGUCAGCUUGCUGCUAUUUCUGCUCUGGAUAAAAGGUCAGACUGAUGGGAGUGACGUCCAUCAGAUUUCAACACUGUGGGAAAACAAGGGUGACAAUGCAACAGUAGAAUGCAACCACACCAAGGGUGGCAGCUACUUCCAGAUGUACUGGUACAGACAGCUGCCUGGAGAAAAUAUGGAACUAAUUGUGUUCACAACAGCUGGUAACGAUGAUCAUGACUUUGGAAAGUCCAGUAAAGGGAAAUUCUCAGCCACUAAACCUAAUGCUGAGAGCGGGACAUUGAUAGUGAAGAAUCUGGAGCCUGGAGAUCAAGGCUUGUAUUUCUGUGCUGUGAGUCAACACAGUGAUACAGACACAUGUGGAAGCUGA